rnacentral:rRNA from 1 species
GACGAACGCUGGCGGCGUGCUUAACACAUGCAAGUCGAACGGAAAGGCCUGCUUUCCCUUGUGGAUUGCGGGUACUCGAGUGGCGAACGGGUGAGUAACACGUGACUGAUCUGCCCCCAACUUGGGUAUAAGCCUGGGAACCUGGGUCUAAUUCCCGAUAGGACUGCAGGGUGGUGCCUGUGGUGGAAAACGAUUUUCUAGUGGUUGGGGAUGAGCUCGCGGCCUAUCAGCUUGUGGGUGGGGUAAUGGCCUACCAAGGCGGGGACGGGUAGCCGGCGUGAGAGGGGGGACGGUGACAGUGGGACUGGGAUACGGCCCAGACGGCUACGGGAGGCAGCAGUGGGGAGUAAAGGACAAUGAGCGUGAGCCAGAUGCAGCGACUGCGCGUAGAAGAUGACGGGCUUCGGGUUGUAUACUCCUUUCGACCGAGAGGAAGCCACCUGGUUGGAAGGGUGGUGACGGUAGUGGUAGAAGAAGCACCGGCUAACUACGUG